CUACCUGCAAUACCUGCUUGCAAAGGAAAAAUUAGUUUUCGCCAAUGAGUCUUCUGAGUAUAUUGACCACACUUCAGGAGAGCCUUCAUGCCCAGCAGUAGAUGGCAAACAAAACAAACUCAGUACUUUUUAGACUUCAUUUCAUACUGCUUUGUUUGGGCUGUUGUUUGUUGUUGUCAUUGGGUGUGGGGAGGACCUGGGAGUAGUUGGGGGAGGGAAAAUCAUGAUCAAAAUAUAAUGUAUAAAUUUUUUUAAGAUUUAUCUUGGGGGCUGGAGAAAUGACUCAGAGGUUAAGAGCACCAACUGCUCUUCCAGAGGUCCUGAGUUCAAUUCCCAGCAACCACAUGGUGGCUUAAAACCAUCCGUUAUGAGAUCUGGUGCCCUCUGCUGGUGUGCAGAUAUACAUGGAAGCAGAAUGUUGUAUACAUAAUAAAUAAAUAAAAUCUUAAAAAAAAAAAAAAAGAUUUAUCUUUAGGGCUGGAGAGAUGCUCAGAGGUUAAGAGCACCAACUGCUCUUCCAGAGGUCCUGAGUUCAAUUCCCAGCAACCACAUGGUGGCUCACAACCAUCCGUUAUGAGAUCUGGUGCCCUCUUCUGGUGUGCAGAUAUACAUGGAAGCAGAAUGUUGUAUACAUAAUAAAUAAAAUCUUAAAAAAAAAAAAAAGAAAAGAAAAAGGGAAAAAAAAAGAAAGAUGAUCCAACACCUUCUGGCUUCUGCACUGUACACAUGUGGUAUGCAUACAACAAAAAGCAGGCAUACAUAUAUACACACAAAAAGUAGUAGUAAUAAUAAAAUUUAAGUUUUUUAGGGAUUACAGAGAUGGUUCAGUGGUUAAUAGUGUAUAUAUAUUAUACUGUUUGUUAACAGAAAACACAUGGACAACCAUGUUUUCUUCUUUCUGCCUUAUUUGAGCAUUUUCCUUCCCUUCCCUUCCUUAAUUUUUAUCUUUUGUACCUACAUUGUGUCCGAAUCUUUCCCUUAAGUUCCCUCACACACCCAUCCACAUACCUUACCAUUUGGGUUAUCUGUGAGCAUCAUUUUAUCCAAUAGGGAGAACUUAGGCCAAGAACAUUACUAUAAUUCCUGCUAACUUCUGCAUGACAAUAAUAUCUUUCUUGUGUCUAUCAGGGAAUCAGCAAGUGAUGUCCUAAGAGAAAACAGGGUCACCAGGACAAACUAAUUACUACAGGACAUGUUUCUAGGCUGUAUUUUCUCAGUUUAUUUUCUUUAUUUGGGGUUUGGGUGGGGCAUUGAAAGGAUCAAACCCAGGACCACGGCACUUCAGGCAGGGACUCCACCACUGAGCUACAUGCCCCAGCCCUACUAUAAUUAUUUUAUUAAUGUUAUGUAUAUAUGCGAAUACCACAUGUAUUUAAGUGCUCAGUUGCCUGAGGAGGCCAGAAAUGGGCAUCAGAUCCCCAAGAGGUGUAAUUACAGGCAGUUGUAAGAUGCCCGUGGGAGAUAGGACAGUCGGUAGGCACAAUUAACUGCUGAGCCAUUUCUUCAGACCUUAAUAAUUUUUAUUUUAUUUUUCGGCCAGAUGUGGUAGCACACAUCUUUAAUUCCAGCACUCCACAGGCAGAGAGGUAGGCAGAUCUCUGAGUUCAAGGGCAGCCUGAUCUGCAAAGCCAAGACCCUGUCUGAAAAAAUACAAAAAGGAAGCUAGAGAAAUGGCUCAGGGAUUAAGAGCACUUUCUGCUCUUACAGAGGACCCAAGUUCAAUUCCCAGCACCCACAAUGCACAGCUCACAGCCUCUCAUAAAUCCAGUUCCAGGAGACCGGC
rnacentral:lncRNA from 1 species